UACGGGGGGGGCAAGCGUUGUUCGGAAUCACUGGGCAUAAAGCGCACGUAGGCGGCCAAGUCAGUCAGGUGUGAAAUACCUCGGCUCAACCGAGGAACUGCGCCUGAUACUGCUUGGCUUGAGGUCCGGAGGGGAGAGUGGAAUUCCCGGUGGAGCGGUGAAAUGCGUAGAGAUCGGGAAGAACGCCGGCGGCGAAAGCGACUCUCUGGUCGGAAUCUGACGCUGAGGUGCGAAAGCUAGGGGAGCAAACGGG
rnacentral:rRNA from 1 species